rnacentral:rRNA from 1 species
CCUACGGGAGGCAGCAGUGAGGAAUAUUGGUCAAUGGGCGGGAGCCUGAACCAGCCAAGUAGCGUGAGGGAAGACGGUCCUAUGGAUUGUAAACUUCUUUAGGCGGGGAGCAAUGCCGGGCACGCGUGCCCGGAGGGAGAGUACCCGCAGAAUAAGCAUCGGCUAACUCCGUGUCAGCAGCCGCGGUAUUACGGGGGAUGCGAGUGUUAUCCGGAUUUAUUGGGUUUAAAGGGUGCGUAGGCGGAUUUUUAAGUCAGCGGUAAAGUGUCCGGGCUCAACCCGGGCCGGCCGUUGAAACUGGGGAUCUUGAGUGGGCUAGAGGUAUGCGGAAUGCGUGGUGUAGCGGUGAAAUGCAUAGAUAUCACGCAGAACUCCGAUUGCGAAGGCAGCAUACCGGCGCCCGACUGACGCUGAGGCACGAAAGCGUGGGGAUCGAACAGGAUUAGAUACCCGAGUAGUC